UACGGAGGGUCCAAACGUUAUCCGGAAUCACUGGGCGUAAAGCGCACGUAGGCGGAUCGUAAAGUCAGAGGUGAAAUCCCAGGGCUCAACCUUGGAACUGCCUUUGAAACUUCCGGUCUUGAGUUCGAGAGAGGUGAGUGGAAUUCCGAGUGUAGAGGUGAAAUUCGUAGAUAUUCGGAGGAACACCAGUGGCGAAGGCGGCUCACUGGCUCGAUACUGACGCUGAGGUGCGAAAGCGUGGGGAGCAAACAGG
rnacentral:rRNA from 1 species